AUGAUAAAAUCAGCCAUUCCUUCCCUUGUGCAGUGCAGGUCAUCCAGGAGCAUUCAGGAGAAUUCUUUUGCUUCAUUAUUUAGGAAGCUGUGGAGCAUUAUCAAAAGGCAUUCAGAAGCUGGGGUGGGGGCAGUCUUAGCAAAGAUUUCAACCAUUCUUAAACUGGCAUUUUUUGCUCAGAGAUCCAGCUGGAAACGGAGACGAGGGAACAAAAGUUUUUCUUAUGCUAAAAAGUCUGGGUUGCCCAAGAAUAUUACAUGAAGCAAGAAUACUACAUGACUUAAGUAACCAGUCACAAACUAAAACAAGGGGACGUUGACAGCAGUCUUCAAAUGGGAAUGAGCAGAGCCAUUGUCUGUAUGUUGCCACAGAUUCCUACUGAUUUUGUCCAAGAGAGGUGACCUUGUCUUCGAUCCACUCAUCACUUCCUAGCUCUGCCAAUCACCACAGAAUCUACUCAGUGGAAACCACACUCAUUAAAAUCUGAAAUAAUCUCUUUCCUGGUCUGACAACCAGCACUUCUUCCUUACUUUCCAUGAGUGAAUUGCCAUUUUCAAUACAUGCAACAACUUAUUGUUGUGACAUCGUCCACAGGGUUCCACCUAGACAAGAACCAGGAUUUCUCCUUCACCAAAACCUUUAUUAUUUUUUUCCAAAGAAGAAAUGCAAUUUAUUGCUACACAAACUCCAAACAAAAUCCUGGUGAGUCAACUGAAAUUAUAUUUCCAUAAAUCAGAAUUCCUGUUAUCUUUACCAGUGACAAAUUCUUGGCACUGAAGAAUAAUUUGUUCUACAGAAUUUUGCACUUUUAACCAAUUAGCAUUUUCAAAAGUAAAAUGUUAAACUGAAAAAUGUCCAACCUCCUACACCUACCAUAUUUCUGGGUAAUCUUGUCUGCAAACAUUAACUCAGCUACUACCUCUAGCCUGGGUAAUCACUUUAGCAAACAUUCAUUCACUUGCUAUCUGUGAACAGACAACUCACAGAGCUGUCUUUUUGCUAAACGUCUAUCUCCUUUAGAUCAAAUAGGCUGAUUCUCUGUUCACAAAAGCACAGUUUCCUUCAUUCACACUGUACCACCAUUUUACAUAUAAGACAUAUAUUUGGAAUUUCAUCUACCACUUAGACCACUCUUUAGGUCUUUCUUUGCAAGAUAGAUUUAAAUUGUGCAGAUUCUACCUGCAUAUCUCCAGGGCAAGUCUUACACUGCAGGCAUCUGCUUACAUGGGUAACGCAAGUACACGAGUUUGCAUGACAGUAUUCCUAUGCUGAAAACAGGACAGGAACUUAGACAGUAUAAUAUUGUCUA
rnacentral:lncRNA from 1 species